rnacentral:lncRNA from 1 species
CGUCACUUCACCCUUGGUCUGAUCCAGCACACAAGUAUCUGCUUGUAAUCAUUUACCUUCAUUCCAUACUUGGCGAACUCUCGCUUCAGGAAACUGUCUAUCAAGGCUAAUCUCCUUCACCUGAGUGCUCAAAUCCUCCUCCGGUGGGACUAUUUGAUAUCUCCCGAGUUGUCUCAGGACCCGAUAAAGAGCAUAAGGUUGGAUGCUAUUCAACCACAUAAGAAGGAAAUGUGACCCAGCAACUGACAUGUAUAUGAUUUCUCCCACGAGAAACCAUCCCAAAGUCCACUGUAUCUGAUUGGCCUUGAGCGUCCGGAAGUACGAUACCC